GGAGAAUGAGGAUUUCGAUCCAGAAACAGAGUCGGAAUCGGAAGAUGAAGAAGGAGAUCAGCAAGUCGUAAAGCUGUCUGAACCUUCAAAAACUGCUGUAUAUAACAAGGAUGGUUUGCUUGAAAGGCUGGCUGAUAUUAGUUGGCCUGAUGAUUUGGAUUGGACUCACAGGCUUAGCAUCGAUAGGGAGGAGCAAGAAGAGGUGGAUGUGAACGAUGAUUUGGCGAGGGAACACUCGUUUUACACGCAGGGGUUGGAGGGUAUACGUCAAGCGUACGUCAACUUUCAGUCAACCGGUGAACCAUUUCUGAGGCCCUCUGAUUAUUACGCUGAAAUGGUGAAGUCUGACACUCACAUGGAGAAAGUUAAGGGCCGACUCUUGGCUGAGAAGAGGAGGAUUGAGGAGUCCGAGGAGAGGAGGAAGGCAAGAGAUAACAAGAAACUUGCUAAAGAUGUACAAGCACAGAAGAUGAAAGAACGAACUAAGCAGAAGAAGCAAGAGAUUGAGUCCGUUAAGAAGUGGAGGAAGCAGAGGCAACAAAGUGGCUUCGACAAAGAAGAUGCUGGCGGUCUAGAUUUGGCAUUUAAUGGAGGAGAGGCGAAUAAACCCUAUCAGCGAUCAAAUAAGAAGAGACCUGGUGUAUCUCCCGGAGAUCGUUCAGGUGGUAAGGCAACAUUUGGUGGAAAAGGUAAGGGGUUUGACAAAAAGAGGAAAAGCAGGGAAUUCAAGGAUUCAAAGUUUGGAUUUGGUGGUA
rnacentral:misc_RNA from 1 species